GACGAACGCUGGCGGCGUGCUUAACACAUGCAAGUCGAACGGAAAGGCCCUGCUUUUGUGGGGUGCUCGAGUGGCGAACGGGUGAGUAACACGUGAGUAACCUGCCCUUGACUUUGGGAUAACUUCAGGAAACUGGGGCUAAUACCGGAUAGGAGCUCCUGCUGCAUGGUGGGGGUUGGAAAGUUUCGGCGGUUGGGGAUGGACUCGCGGCUUAUCAGCUUGUUGGUGGGGUAGUGGCUUACCAAGGCUUUGACGGGUAGCCGGCAUGAGAGGGUGACCGGCCACAUUGGGACUGAGAGACGGCCCAGACUCCUACGGGAGGCAGCAGUGGGGAAUAUUGCACAAUGGGCGGAAGCCUGAUGCAGCAACGCCGCGUGCGGGAUGACGGCCUUCGGGUUGUAAACCGCUUUCGCCUGUGACGAAGCGUGAGUGACGGUAAUGGGUAAAGAAGCACCGGCUAACUACGUG
rnacentral:rRNA from 1 species